GACGAACCGUGCGAACGUUGUUCGGAUUCACUGGGCUUAAAGGGCGCGUAGGCGGGCGAUCAAGUCAGGGGUGAAAUCUUUCGGCCCAACCGGAAGAGUGCCCCUGAUACUGGCCGUCUCGAGGGGGGUAGGGGCAUGCGGAACUUCCGGUGGAGCGGUGAAAUGCGUAGAUAUCGGAAGGAACGCCGGUGGCGAAAGCGGCGUGCUGGACCCCUUCUGACGCUGAGGCGCGAAAGCCAGGGGAGCAAACGGG
rnacentral:rRNA from 1 species